rnacentral:rRNA from 1 species
AAGUCGAGCGGACCGACGGGAGCUUGCUCCCUUAGGUCAGCGGCGGACGGGUGAGUAACACGUGGGUAACCUGCCUGUAAGACUGGGAUAACUCCGGGAAACCGGGGCUAAUACCGGAUGCUUGAUUGAACCGCAUGGUUCAAUCAUAAAAGGUGGCUUUUAGCUACCACUUACAGAUGGACCCGCGGCGCAUUAGCUAGUUGGUGAGGUAACGGCUCACCAAGGCGACGAUGCGUAGCCGACCUGAGAGGGUGAUCGGCCACACUGGGACUGAAACACGGCCCAGACUCCUACGGGAGGCAGCAGUAGGGAAUCUUCCGCAAUGGACGAAAGUCUGACGGAGCAACGCCGCGUGAGUGAUGAAGGUUUUCGGAUCGUAAAACUCUGUUGUUAGGGAAGAACAAGUACCGUUCGAAUAGGGCGGUACCUUGACGGUACCUAACCAGAAAGCCACGGCUAACUACGUGCCAGCAGCCGCGGUAAUACGUAGGUGGCAAGCGUUGUCCGGAAUUAUUGGGCGUAAAGCGCGCGCAGGCGGUUUCUUAAGUCUGAUGUGAAAGCCCCCGGCUCAACCGGGGAGGGUCAUUGGAAACUGGGGAACUUGAGUGCAGAAGAGGAGAGUGGAAUUCCACGUGUAGCGGUGAAAUGCGUAGAGAUGUGGAGGAACACCAGUGGCGAAGGCGACUCUCUGGUCUGUAACUGACGCUGAGGCGCGAAAGCGUGGGGAGCGAACAGGAUUAGAUACCCUGGUAGUCCACGCCGUAAACGAUGAGUGCUAAGUGUUAGAGGGUUUCCGCCCUUUAGUGCUGCAGCAAACGCAUUAAGCACUCCGCCUGGGGAGUACGGUCGCAAGACUGAAACUCAAAGGAAUUGACGGGGGCCCGCACAAGCGGUGGAGCAUGUGGUUUAAUUCGAAGCAACGCGAAGAACCUUACCAGGUCUUGA